rnacentral:rRNA from 1 species
UACGUAGGGUCCGAGCGUUGUCCGGAAUUAUUGGGCGUAAAGGGCUCGUAGGCGGUCUGUUGCGUCGGGAGUGAAAACUUACAGCUUAACUGUGAGCGUGCUUUCGAUACGGGCAGACUUGAGGCAUUCAGGGGAGAACGGAAUUCCUGGUGUAGCGGUGAAAUGCGUAGAUAUCCGGAGGAACACCGGUGGCGAAGGCGGCUUCCUGGACCGACACUGACGCUGAGGCGCGAAAGCUAGGGGAGCAAACAGG